rnacentral:rRNA from 1 species
AGUGAACGCUGGCGGUAGGCCUAACACAUGCAAGUCGAACGGCAGCACAGUAAGAGCUUGCUCUUACGGGUGGCGAGUGGCGGACGGGUGAGGAAUACAUCGGAAUCUACUUUUUCGUGGGGGAUAACGUAGGGAAACUUACGCUAAUACCGCAUACGACCUACGGGUGAAAGCAGGGGAUCUUCGGACCUUGCGCGAUUGAAUGAGCCGAUGUCGGAUUAGCUAGUUGGCGGGGUAAAGGCCCACCAAGGCGACGAUCCGUAGCUGGUCUGAGAGGAUGAUCAGCCACACUGGAACUGAGACACGGUCCAGGCUCCUAAGGGAGGCAGCAGUGGGGAAUAUUGGACAAUGGGCGCAAGCCUGAUCCAGCCAUACCGCGUGGGUGAAGAAGGCCUUCGGGUUGUAAAGCCCUUUUGUUGGGAAAGAAAAGCAGCAGGUUAAUACCCCGCUGUUCUGACGGUACCCAAAGAAUAAGCACCGGCUAACUUCGUG